GGGGGAAGCAUGCAGCUGCAUGCCUGCAGGUCAUGCCUUCGCCAAGCAAAAGGAACGCGCCGGCAGCAUGAUCGACAACGUGCUGAUCAUCGCCAACAGCGACCACGGCCUGGCCCGCAUCCACUCGCUCGACGGCAUGCCGAUGUUCACGGCGGGCCGCGCCGGCGGCAAGGUCAAGACCGGGAUGCACAUCGACGGCGGCGCCACGGCGGUCACCCGCCUGGGCUACACCGCCAUGCGCACCAUGGGCCUCGAAGUCCAGUCAUGGGGCACCAAGAGCAACAACACCUCGAAGGAACUCGGCGAAAUCCUCGCCUAGUCUCCUCGGACAGCCGGCAAAAAAGGGGGCGGAAACGCCCCCUUUUUUCAUGCCUGGAGCCGACGCCCGCUGGUUUCGGGCACGGUACAGCCGCGCAAUCCCUCAAUCUGUGCCCAUCCCGCCGCGGUAAUACCCGCGGCCCGAGUGGUGCUCAUUAUUAUUGAGCCUAAAGCGUCCGUAGCUGGCCGGGCAAAUCUCCGGGGAAAUCGGGCGGCCCAACCGUCCGAAGACCGGAGACACUGCUCGGCUUGAGAUCGGGAGAGGGAGGAGGUACUCCUGGGGUAGGGGUAAAAUCCUGUAAUCCUGGGGGGACCACCAGUGGCGAAGGCGUCCUCCUAGAACGAAUCUGACAGUGAGGGACGAAGCCCUAGGGCGCAAACGGGAUUAGAUACCCCGGUAGUCUAGGGUGUAAACGCUGCAGACUUGGUGUUGGGGGUCCUGCGUGGGCUCCCAGUGCCGGAGUGAAGAUGUUAAGUCUGCCGCUUGGGGAGUACGGUCGCAAGACUGAAACUUAAAGGAAUUGGCGGCAGAGCACCGCAACGGGAGGAGCGUGCGGUUCAAUUGCACCACCCCCGGGGAU
rnacentral:rRNA from 1 species